GUGCUCGCUCCGCUCCGGCAGCACCUUUACUAAAAUUAGAACGACCAGAGGAGACCGGCAGAGGCCCGGCACAAGGAUGACAUGCAAAUUCGUGAGGCCUUCUGUGUUUUU
ensembl:snRNA U6 U6 spliceosomal RNA